CGGUACGGAUCAUCCCAGGCUGAUCCUCGGGGGUAGAAAUGAGGAGAUCAAAGGGUUCGGUCCAUUCCCAUCGCCAAAGAGAGAGAGCAAGAAAUGACACUAUAAGCAGAGAUGCUGCCUGGAAAACCAGCAAGGAGAAAAACCCCCAAAAACCACCAAAGAAAACACCGCAGAACUGCCCAGGGAAACACAAAGUUUGGCUUCCUUCCUCCCCUCGGUGCUGGCAGGUUUGGAGGUUUCAUGACGUAAACGGUGCCUUUUGAAGGCACUCUGAAAAGACUUUCUUGCCAAACUGCUUGGUUAAAACUGGACUCGCAGCCCACUAUAAACGAAAACAACAAUUUAUUGCUUUACAAGUUGUGGCGUUGGUCAUCCACUUCACAAGGCAUCAUCUG